rnacentral:rRNA from 1 species
UUGGAGGGCAAGUCUGGUGCCAGCAGCCGCGGUAAUUCCAGCUCCAAUAGCGUAUAUUAAAGUUGUUGCAGUUAAAAAGCUCGUAGUUGAACUUCGGAAUCAAUGGAUUGGUCAUGCCGUUGGUAUGUACUGGUCAUAUUGGUUCUCACCUUCUAAGGAACCAUAAUGUCAUUCAUUUGAUGUUUUGGGGAAUUAGGACUGUUACCUUGAAAAAAUUAGAGUGUUUAAAGCAGGCUAACGCUUGAAUACAUUAGCAUGGAAUAAUGAAAUAGGACAUCGCAUUCUAUUUUGUUGGUUUCUAGGAUCGAUGUAAUGAUUAAUAGGGAUAGUUGGGGGCAUUAGUAUUCAAUUGUCAGAGGUGAAAUUCUUGGAUUUAUUGAAGACUAACUACUGCGAAAGCAUUUGCCAAGGAUGUUUUCAUUAAUCAAGAACGAAAGUUAGGGGAUCGAAGACGAUCAGAUACCGUCGUAGUCUUAACCAUAAACUAUGCCGACUAGGGAUCGGAUGAUGUUGAUUUUUUAAUGACUCAUUCGGCACCUUACGGGAAAC